rnacentral:rRNA from 1 species
UACGUAGGGGGCAAGCGUUGUCCGGAAUCAUUGGGCGUAAAGAGCUCGUAGGCGGUUUGUUGCGUCGGCUGUGAAAUCCCGAGGCCCAACCUCGGGUCUGCAGUCGAUACGAGCAAACUAGAGUGUUGCAGGGGAGACUGGAAUUCCUGGUGUAGCGGUGAAAUGCGCAGAUAUCAGGAGGAACACCGGUGGCGAAGGCGGGUCUCUGGGCAACAACUGACGCUGAGGAGCGAAAGCGUGGGGAGCGAACAGG